rnacentral:rRNA from 1 species
AUCUCUUAAAGACUGUUCUCAGUUCGGACUGCAGUCUGCAACUCGACUGCACGAAGCUGGAAUCGCUAGUAAUCGCGGAUCAGCACGCCGCGGUGAAUACGUUCCCGGGCCUUGUACACACCGCCCGUCACACCAUGGAAGUCUGCAAUGCCCGAAGCCGGUGGCCUAACCACUUAUGUGGAAGGAGCCGUCUAAGGCAGGGCAGAUGACUGGGGUGAAGUCGUAACAAGGUAAC